rnacentral:lncRNA from 1 species
AUGACGAGAGACACUCUCUGGUGGGAACGUCUCCUAGAAACAAGGCCUAAGACGGGGCGACAACAGCCCCACAGCUGUGUCCAGAUGCAGGAAGCACUGGCCCGUGCUGGAAAUAUUGGUGCACUGGCAGCCAGAAUGUUCCCCAGAGUCACACAGGGCCAGGCCUCCAAUGCAGCAUUGGCUCGGUGGCUGAUCCGUUCUUCCGCGCACUGGGAGGCAUGGACACCCCCAGAAGCCUUCUCUCCUCCCUCCCAAGUGACGCGGUCAGUGCAUUUGCAGGUGUGGAAUAUCCUGCUCCAAUCCUCAGCCCUGGGCCUGGCCAUGUCACCUACUUUGUCUAGUGAAACGUCGGUGGACAGGCGCUGCCCGGGCUCCAGGGAGCUCCUCCCUGAGGCUCAUUCCCUAUGCCUCUGCCAUCAGCACGGAAGGACCUGCCCAGCUGCCUCCGGGGUCAGGGAGGACACGCGGUGCGGGAGAGAGCUGGCCCCACUGCAGCUGCGGGCGCUGUUCAUCUGAGUGGCGCUAGGUCAGCUGACACCCGUCGGACCCUCAGAACCCCAAGCCAGCCCUGCUGAGAUCUGAGCCACCGCGGCCAAACUGCAGUCACCUGGAAAGGAAGCCCCGCAUUCCACCCCUGGGAUGUGCGGCCCUUUGCUCUGCAGCAGGUGCUGAUGUUGCGCCUCCAGCUGCUCCCCCGCUCCCUGGUUUUGGAAGCUUCCCCUUUCCUGGGCCUCACGGUGCUAAGAUCCACCACGAGCCAUCACUGUGGUUGUUUCUCAAGUCCAGAGAAGAGAGUUUGCUGUGAAGUGAAAACCUUCCUUGUAACACUGACCAGAGGCUCCGUGUGCAUUUGGCUGCCAGCCAUGAGGCAGGCUCUGAGCUUCCCCUGGGGUGUGGGUUCUCCAUUUUCAGUGGAUUUGGCAGGGGCUUUCCUGGGUGCAUUUGCCCCCUGG